AUGCUACUGCUGCUUGCCCUGGUGGCGGCGCUCCAUGGCCACGGGGGAGGAGCAUGCGUCCGUGCCACGAAGGCGCCAAGCCGCCCGCGCUGGCUGGAUGGGCUGAGCCGGGCGUCGUUCCCCAAGGGAUUCGUGUUCGGGACGGCGACGUCGGCGUACCAGGUGGAGGGCAUGGCCACAGGAGGCGGCCGCGGGCCUUCCAUCUGGGAUGCCUUCGCGCAUACGCCAGGGAAAGUUGUGGGAAAUCAAAACGCCGACGUUACAACAGAUCAAUAUCAUCGCUACAAGGAAGAUGUUAAUCUCAUGAAAGGAUUGAAUUUCGACGCCUACCGGUUUUCUAUCUCAUGGUCCAGAAUCUUUCCGGACGGGGAAGGAAAAGUUAACGAAGGUGUGGCGUACUACAACAAUCUGAUAGAUUACCUGCUUCAGAGAGGCGUUACUCCUUAUGUCAAUCUUUACCACUAUGAUCUCCCUCUAGCACUUGAGAAGAAGUAUGGAGGCUGGUUAACUGCAAAGACAGUGAAACUAUUUGCAGAUUACGCUGACUUUUGUUUUAAGACCUUUGGCGACCGUGUAACGCACUGGUUUACAUUCAACGAACCAAGUAGAGUAGCGAUUGGUGGUUAUGAUAUAGCGACGGCUCCUCCCCAAAGGUGCACCAAAUGCUCUGCUGGUGGGAACUCAGCAACAGAGCCUUACAUUGUUGCUCAUAAUUUUCUCUUAGCACAUGGUUAUGCAGUUGCAAUAUACCGGAACAAGUAUCAGGCAGCUCAGCAAGGGAAGGUUGGAAUAGUUCUGGACGUCAGUUGGUACGAGGCUCUUAGCAACUCAACUGAAGACCAAGCUGCAGCUCAAAGAGCCAUGGACUUCCUUGUUGCUUGGUUUCUUGAUCCACUAAUAAAUGGACAGUACCCACAGAUAAUGCAAGACCUUGUGAAAGAGAGGUUGCCCAGGUUCACUCCUGAUGAAGCUAAAGUGGUCAAGGGCUCAGCGGACUGGAUCGGAGUCAAUCAAUACACAACUGAAUUUGUGAAGGGGCAGAAAUUGGUGCAGCAGAGGCCGACUAGCUACUCAGCCGAUUUGCAGGUUACUUAUUCAUUUGAGCGAAAUGGCAAACCGAUUGGACCAAGGGCGAAUUCUAAAUGGCUUUAUAUUGUCCCGAGGGGGAUGUACGGAUGCGUGCACUACAUCAGCCAGAAGUACGGAAAUCCAGCGAUGCUCAUAACUGAAAACGGAAUGGAUCAACCAGGGAACCUCACCCGCGAUCAGUACUUGCGGGAUGCCACAAGGGUUCGGUACUACCGGAGUUACCUCUGCGAGCUGAAGAAAGCCAUCGACGGCGGGGCCAACGUUCUUGGCUACUUUGCCUGGUCCCUCCUGGACAACUUCGAGUGGAUGUAUGGCUACACAUCCAAGUUUGGCAUCGUGUACGUCAACUUCAACAGCCCCACCCUAGAACGGCACCCCAAGGCGUCGGCCUACUGGUUCAGAGAUCUGCUGCAACACUGA
rnacentral:rRNA from 1 species